rnacentral:rRNA from 1 species
CGCGUAGGCGGCCUGCUAAGUCCGGUGUGAAAACUUAAGGCUCAACCUUAAGAUGGCACUGGAAACUGACAGGCUUGAGGUCAGGAGAGGAAAGCGGAAUUCCUAGUGUAGCAGUGAAAUGCGUAGAUAUUAGGAGGAACACCAGUGGCGAAGGCGGCUUUCUGGACUGAUUCUGACGCUGAGGUGCGAAAGCCAGGGGAGCAAACG